rnacentral:tRNA from 1 species
GCUGAAAUAGCUCAGCCGGCAGAGCGCUUCACUCGUAAUGAAGAGGUCGUGGGUUCGAUUCCCAUUUUCAGCU